rnacentral:rRNA from 1 species
GACGUAGGGCGCGAGCGUUGUCCGGAUUUAUUGGGCGUAAAGAGCUCGUAGGCGGUUUGUUAUGUCGGAUGUGAAAGCCCUUGGCUCAACUGAGGAAGUGCAUCCGAAACUGGCAGGCUAGAGUACUAAAGAGGAUCGCGGAAUUCCCGGUGUAGAGGUGAAAUUCGUAGAUAUCGGGAGGAACACCGGUGGCGAAGGCGGCGAUCUGGGUAGAUACUGACGCUGAGGUGCGAAAGCGUGGGGAGCAAACAGG